rnacentral:rRNA from 13 species
GUUUAGACCGUCGUGAGACAGGUUGGUUUUACCCUACUUAAUCGUACACAUCAACUCGGCGCCCCGAGGGGAAUGCGAAGUAGUACGAGAGGAACUUUCGUUUCGGCCCUCUAGUAACAGCGGUUCUCCGAAAUGAGACGCCGCAAUGCCACGGCCGAUGACUAACAGCUGAACGCCUCUUAAGCUGGAAAUCAAUCCCGAAGAGCGCCUUGGCAGCUUGCCAACCGGUUCUGAAGUGUUUGCCCGCGAACGUAUGCCGCAAGGCACACUGGGCGCAUUCUGCAAUCGUAAGUACGAGUAGGAACCACGGAAGACCUGGAGCAGACGACUCCAGAUGCACAGCCAGGUAUGCGUGCUGGAGGAAUUUAGGUUCCGACUCACUGAGCCU